rnacentral:rRNA from 1 species
UACGGGGGGUGCGAGCGUUAAUCGGAAUAACUGGGCGUAAAGCGCACGCAGGCGGACGUUUAAGUGAGAUGUGAAAUCCCCGAGCUUAACCUGGGAAUUGCAUUUGAUACUGGGAGUCUAGAGUACUGUAGGGGGGGGUAGAAUUCCACGUGUAGCGGUGAAAUGCGUAGAGAUGUGGAGGAAUACCGAAGGCGAAGGCAGCCCCUUGGAAAAGUACUGACGCUCAUGUGCGAAAGCGUGGGGAGCAAACAGG